rnacentral:rRNA from 1 species
AUUGAACGCUGGCGGCAUGCCUUACACAUGCAAGUCGAACGGUAACAGGUCUUCGGAUGCUGACGAGUGGCGAACGGGUGAGUAAUAUAUCGGAACGUGCCCAGUCGUGGGGGAUAACGCAGCGAAAGCUGUGCUAAUACCGCAUACGAUCUACGGAUGAAAGCGGGGGAUCGCAAGACCUCGCGCGAUUGGAGCGGCCGAUAUCAGAUUAGCUAGUUGGUGGGGUAAAAGCCCACCAAGGCGACGAUCUGUAGCUGGUCUGAGAGGACGACCAGCCACACUGGAACUGAGACACGGUCCAGACUCCUACGGGAGGCAGCAGUGGGGAAUUUUGGACAAUGGGCGCAAGCCUGAUCCAGCAAUGCCGCGUGCAGGAUGAAGGCCUUCGGUUGUAACUGCUUUGUUACGGAGCGAAACGGCUCUCUUAAUUACAGGGGCGUAAUGACGGUACCGUAAGAAUAAGCACCGGCUAACUACGUGCC